GACGAACGCUGGCGGCGUGCUUAACACAUGCAAGUCGAACGGAAAGGCCCUGCUUUUGUGGGGUGCUCGAGUGGCGAACGGGUGAGUAACACGUGAGUAACCUGCCCUUGACUUUGGGAUAACUUCAGGAAACUGGGGCUAAUACCGGAUAGGAGCUCCUGCUGCAUGGUGGGGGUUGGAAAGUUUCGGCGGUUGGGGCUGGACUCGCGGCUUAUCAGCUUGUUGGUGGGGUAGUGGCUUACCAAGGCUUUGACGGGUAGCCGGCCUGAGAGGGUGACCGGCCACAUUGGGACUGAGAUACGGCCCAGACUCCUACGGGGGGCAGCAGUGGGGAAUAUUGCACAAUGGGCGGAAGCCUGAUGCAGCAACGCCGCGUGCGGGAUGACGGCCUUCGGGUUGUAAACCGCUUUCGCCUGUGACGAAGCGUGAGUGACGGUAAUGGGUAAAGAAGCACCGGCUAACUACGUG
rnacentral:rRNA from 1 species